rnacentral:piRNA from 1 species
UGCAGCAGGCCAUCCUUCAUUAUCGGGUCA